rnacentral:rRNA from 1 species
UACGUAGGGUGCAAGCGUUAAUCGGAAUUACUGGGCGUAAAGCGUGCGCAGGCGGUCUCUUAAGUCUGAUGUGAAAUCCCGUGGCUUAACCACGGGCGGUCAUUGGAAACUGGGGGACUUGAGUGCAGAAGAGAAGAGCGGAAUUCCACGUGUAGCGGUGAAAUGCGUAGAGAUGUGGAGGAACACCAGUGGCGAAGGCGGCUCUUUGGUCUGUAACUGACGCUGAGGCGCGAAAGCGUGGGGAGCGAACAGG